GACGAACGCUGGCGGCGUGCUUAACACAUGCAAGUCGAACGGAAAGGCCCUGCUUUUGUGGGGUGCUCGAGUGGCGAACGGGUGAGUAACACGUGAGUAACCUGCCCUUGACUUUGGGAUAACUUCAGGAAACUGGGGCUAAUACCGGAUAGGAGCUCCUGCUGCAUGGUGGGGGUUGGAAAGUUUCGGCGGUUGGGGAUGGACUCGCGGCUUAUCAGCUUGUUGGUGGGGUAGUGGCUUACCAAGGCUUUGACGGGUAGCAGGCCUGCGAGGGUGACCGGCCACAUUGGGACUGAGAUGCGGCCCAGACUCCUACGGGAGGCAGCAGUGGGGAAUAGUGCACAAUGGGCGGAAGCCUGAUGCAGUAACGCAGCGUGCGGGAUGACGGCCUUCGGGUUGGAAACCGCUUUCGCCUGUGACGAAGCGUGAGUGACGGUAAUGGGUAAAGAAGCACCGGCUAACUACGUG
rnacentral:rRNA from 1 species